CUUGAUGGAGCCGAGCCACAGCGGCUUGUCCGCCGGGCGAUCCUGGCCGUACGUCGCCAACAGGGCCUGCGCCUC
rnacentral:antisense_RNA from 1 species